rnacentral:rRNA from 1 species
GAUGAACGCUAGCGGCAGGCCUAAUACAUGCAAGUCGGACGGGAUUUGGGAGCUUGCUCCUAAUGAGAGUGGCGCACGGGUGCGUAACACGUAUGUAACCUACCUUAAUCAGGGGGAUAGCCUCUCGAAAGAGAGAUUAACACCGCAUAACAUAUUUUUAUGGCAUCGUAGAAACAUUAAAUAUUUAUAGGAUUAAGAUGGGCAUGCGGAACAUUAGCUAGUUGGUAAGGUAACGGCUUACCAAGGCUACGAUGUUUAGGGGAUCUGAGAGGAUGACCCCCCACACUGGUACUGAGACACGGACCAGACUCCUACGGGAGGCAGCAGUAAGGAAUAUUGGUCAAUGGGCGCAAGCCUGAACCAGCCAUGCCGCGUGCAGGAAGACGGCCCUAUGGGUUGUAAACUGCUUUUGUACCGGAAUAAACCCUUUUACGUGUAGAAGGCUGAAUGUACGGUAAGAAUAAGGAUCGGCUAACUCCGUGCCAGCAGCCGCGGUAAUAC